rnacentral:pre_miRNA from 1 species
AUAUACAUUGCCUGAGGGUCUUGUUAAAACACAGAUUCUCAGUCAGUAGAUCCAGGAUGAGGCCUGAGAGUCUGCAUCUUUAACAAGCUCCCAGGUGAUGCUGAU